rnacentral:rRNA from 1 species
GACGAACGCUGGCGGCGUGCCUAAUACAUGCAAGUUGAGCGCUGAAGGUUGGUACUUGUACCGACUGGAUGAGCAGCGAACGGGUGAGUAACGCGUGGGGAAUCUGCCUUUGAGCGGGGGACAACAUUUGGAAACGAAUGCUAAUACCGCAUAACAACUUUAAACACAAGUUUUAAGUUUGAAAGAUGCAAUUGCAUCACUCAAAGAUGAUCCCGCGUUGUAUUAGCUAGUUGGUGAGGUAAAGGCUCAUCAAGGCGAUGAUACAUAGCCGACCUGAGAGUGUGAUCGGCCACAUUGGGACUGAGACACGGCCCAAACUCCUACGGGAGGCAGCAGUAGGGAAUCUUCGGCAAUGGACGAAAGUCUGACCGAGCAACGCCGCGUGAGUGAAGAAGGUUUUCGGAUCGUAAAACUCUGUUGGUAGAGAAGAACGUUGGUGAGAGUGGAAAGCUCAUCAAGUGACGGUAACUACCCAGAAAGGGACGGCUAACUACGUGCCAGCAGCCGCGGUAA